GUUGUAGUCUGGAGAAGUGCUUUCCGUGCUGGACCGUGUACAAGUCUCUUGGAAUAGAGCGUCAUAGAGGGUGAGAAUCCCGUCUUUGACACGGACUACCAGUGCUUUGUGAUGCGCUCUCAAAGAGUCGAGUUGUUUGGGAAUGCAGCUCAAAAUGGGUGGUAAAUUCCAUCUAAAGCUAAAUAUUGGCGAGAGACCGAUAGCGAACAAGUACCGUGAGGGAAAGAUGAAAAGCACUUUGGAAAGAGAGUUAAACAGUACGUGAAAUUGCUGAAAGGGAAACGCUUGAAGUCAGUCGCGUCAUUUGGAACUCAGCCUUGCUUUUGCUUGGUGCACUUUCUGAAUGACGGGCCAGCAUCAAUUUCAACCGUUGGAAAAAGGUUGGGGGAAUGUGGCACCUUCGGGUGUGUUAUAGCCUCUGGUCACAUACGACGGUUGGGAUUGAGGACCGCAGCACGCCGCAAGGCAGGGGAUAUACCCACUUUCGUGCUUAGGAUGCUGGCAUAAUGGCUUUAAACGACCCGUCUUGAAACACGGACCAAGGAGUCUAACAUGCCUGCGAGUGUUUGGGUGGAAAACCCGAGCGCGUAAUGAAAGUGAAAGUUGAGACCUCUGUUGUGGAGGGCAUCGACGCCCGGACCUGACGUUCUCUGAAGGAUCCGCGGUAGAGCAUGUAUGUUGGGACCCGAAAGAUGGUGAACUAUGCCUGAAUAGGGUGAAGCCAGAGGAAACUCUGGUG
rnacentral:rRNA from 1 species